CACGGAUAUUCACCUUUGCAGAUGCGGAAACAAGAAUUCUCAUAUGAAGCAUAAUAAGUGAGACUCAAGGCUCCAGAUUCUACAACAGAUGCUUCCCAUAUUUAUGCCUAAUGAAGACAUCGUAUUUGAGGAAACAUACAGAAAGAAGAGAAGUCUCUGGAACCUGAACAACAGGAUGGAAAGAAUCAAAGCUGUACUAAGCCUUCUAAACCAUGAAAACAUUCUGGAACCUUAAGCAGACCGUCUCCAAACACCUUCACAGUAGAAACUUUUGUCCUGUCAACUUGCUGGGAGACUUGCAUACCUGCUAAAUCUUCUAUA